UGUCUCUGAUGAUGAUUUGCACUGGGCUCAGACAAUCUCUGGCGAGAAAAGUGCUGCUCUGCUUAUUGACAUGGCGGAGUCUGAAGAGACU
ensembl:snoRNA Small nucleolar RNA SNORD88